AUUGAACGCUGGCGGCAGGCUUAACACAUGCGAGUCGAACGAGUGGCGGACGGGUGAGUAAUGCUUGGGAAUCUAGCUUAUGGCGGGGGAUAACUACGGGAAACUGUAGCUAAUACCGCGUACCAUAGGAUGAGCCCAAGUGGGAUGAGGUAGUUGGGGGGGUAAAGGCUCACCAAGCCGACGACCGCUAGCUGGUCUGAGAGGAUGACCAGCCACACUGGGACUGAGACACGGCCCAGACUCCGCCGGGAGGCAGCAGUGGGGAAUGUUGCGAAAUGGGGGCAACCUGACGCAGCCAUGCCGCGUGAAUGACGAAGGCCUUCGGGUUGUAAAGUUCUUUCGGUAGAGAGGCGUUAACUACAGAAGAAGCACCGGCUAACUCCGUGCCAGCAGCCGCGGUAAUUC
rnacentral:rRNA from 1 species